CCAGCGAGCGAGCGCAGUAUUGCAGAUUGAAUUUGAAGUGUUUUUCGCCUUUUUGGGUUAUUAUUACAAAACCAGUGACGAGAUGGAUGAUGACAUUGACCAAGACGUCCCUCAGUUAUUAAAGCAGUGGGGUUUACCCCAAUAUAUUCAUACUUUUCAAGCAGUUGAAAAAUCUACUCUUAAAAUCGAAUGAAGGACAAGGCCUGCUAAAUUUAUAUUCAGAACAAGGCAAAUUAUCAAAUAAUGGGCGAAGAAAAGUUUGCAAUAUAAUAAUAAAAGACCUAAUGCAAUCAGACCCAAAUAAAAGAAUAGACAGUUCUCUACUUCUUACAAAAGCACAAGAAAUAACUGAAGUAUUCAAAAAGGAAAAUAUAAGUACUUACUUUAUUCCAUACAUUAAUGAUACUAAACUUAAAAUAAAAAGAUGUGCAAAAGGCAAAUUAUAUGACUGUCUACAAAACAGGCGCCGCGAAUUAAGGGAGGCUAAGGUUAUUAAAAAGAAAAAUGGCAGCAACAUCAACAAUAACAGCAACGAGCCAGAAGUCGUCGAAGAAGAUGGUGGUGCAGAUGAAGAUAUCCAGUGGCUCCAAAACUGUACAGAACCCUGGCAUUUAGUGAUAGAGAAGUGGCAAAAAACUUCCAAAAAUAGAUUGAAGGAAAUAGAGACUUCAGAAAUGACCAUCGGAGCAUACAUUAAUAAAUAUCCAGUGUUAAAAACGCCACGCGGGCAUGAGCUUCUUAUUGAAGAUUUAAGAAGGGCCCUAUUAGAGCCUGUUCACACUAGCAUUAAUAUCGCCGCGAGCACGCGGCGAGCAAGCUAUAUCACACACAUAUAAAGUUUGCUCGCGGCGAUAUUAUUGCGAUAAAAUAAUCGCCGCGAUACCGCGACGACCCGCGGCGAGCUCGUUGCGUGCACGCCGCGAUCUCGCAUCGCCGAAAAGAAUCGCUAGUGUGAACAGGCUCUAAUAGGGCCCCAUACAAGUUGAAUGUAGAAAUGAUAAGUAUAAGGGACGUCGACGCUGAAAAGACGCCUGAACGGGUAGCAUGAUCGCGCGAAAAGUGAUAAAACAUCUCCCUAUCGCACUAUUAGUAAGUGCGAUAGGGACGGAUGUUUUAUCGCGCGAUCAUGCUACCAAUGCAGAUGUGAGGGGCCGUAAUGUGUAAGUGUAAUUUCUACGGACCAAUGAUUGUGAUGAUUAUAUUAAAAUAAAUGUCAUUUUUCUCUGUA